AGUAAUGAGCGCCAGUUUUAAGCCCUGACUUGCUGGCCGGCAACCCUCUCUUGCGGUGGGGUGCCUCAGGUGAAUACUCGGCAAACCCAGCUACCCGAGGCUGUGGCUUGCAAGCGUGAACC
rnacentral:ncRNA from 2 species